GUGCACCAGGCGCGAAAACUUUACAAUGCGAGCAAUCGUGAUAAGGAAACCCUGAGUGCCUGUCAAUGCAGGCUGUUCUGGUGUCUAACACACACCAGGAGAAAGGGCGGGGCAAGACCGGUGCCAGCCGCCGCGGUAAUACCGGCUGCUCGAGUGAUAGCCACUUUUACUGGGCUUAAAGCGUUCGUAGCUUGGUCGUUAAGUCUCUGGGGAAAUCUUUUGGCUCAACCAAAAGGCGUCUCAGGGAAACUGACGAUCUUGGAACCGGGAGAGGUAAGACGUACUUCGGGGGUAGGAGUGAAAUCUUGUAAUCCCCGAGGGACGACCGAUGGCGAAGGCAUCUUACCAGAACGGCUUCGACAGUGAGGGACGAAAGCUGGGGGAGCAAACCGGAUUAGAUACCCCCGUAGUCC
rnacentral:rRNA from 1 species